AUUGAACGCUGGCGGCAUGCCUUACACAUGCAAGUCGAACGGCAGCGCGGACUUCGGUCUGGCGGCGAGUGGCGAACGGGUGAGUAAUGUAUCGGAACGUACCAUUCAGUGGGGGAUAACGCAGCGAAAGUUGCGCUAAUACCGCAUAUUCUGUGCGCAGGAAAGCAGGGGAUCGCAAGACCUUGCGCUGAUUGAGCGGCCGAUAUCAGAUUAGCUAGUUGGUGAGGUAAAGGCUCACCAAGGCGACGAUCUGUAGCGGGUCUGAGAGGAUGAUCCGCCACACUGGAACUGAGACACGGUCCAGACUCCUACGGGAGGCAGCAGUGGGGAAUUUUGGACAAUGGGCGCAAGCCUGAUCCAGCCAUGCCGCGUGAGUGAAGAAGGCCU
rnacentral:rRNA from 1 species